rnacentral:rRNA from 1 species
AGCGAACGCUGGCGGCAGGCCUAACACAUGCAAGUCGAACGAACUCUUCGGAGUUAGUGGCGGACGGGUGAGUAACACGUGGGAACGUGCCUUUAGGUUCGGAAUAACUCAGGGAAACUUGUGCUAAUACCGAAUGUGCCCUUCGGGGGAAAGAUUUAUCGCCUUUAGAGCGGCCCGCGUCUGAUUAGCUAGUUGGUGAGGUAAAGGCUCACCAAGGCGACGAUCAGUAGCUGGUCUGAGAGGAUGAUCAGCCACAUUGGGACUGAGACACGGCCCAAACUCCUACGGGAGGCAGCAGUGGGGAAUCUUGCGCAAUGGGCGAAAGCCUGACGCAGCCAUGCCGCGUGAAUGAUGAAAGUCUUAGGAUUGUAAAAUUCUUUCACCGGGGACGAUAAUGACGGUACCCUGAGAAGAAGCCCCGGCUAACUUCGUG